CCCGCGUCCCCCUCUUUGUCCCCUCCCCCUCUCUCGGUCCCCGGCGUCCUCCCUCCCGACCCUCUAGCGAGGAGCCCGCACGCCUCCCGGGGCGCGCGCUGUUUUAAGCGAAACGACCCGGACGGAAGAGAAAACGAGGCGCAUCCCAACUUCGGAGCCGAGGGGCGCCCGCGUGCGUGCAGAGGUGGGACCGGCCGCUCCGGGACGGCGACCCCCAGGUCGGGCCCGCUUCUGUAAAGCAGCCCCCAAACCCCGGUCGGUCCUGCUGGGCUACUUGGAAACCCGUUUUUGUUUUUGUUUUUGCUUUUGUUUUUGUUUUCUUUGUGUUUCUUUAUUUAGUCGCUCUUCCCCCAUCCGCGGAUAUUAUGGGUGGGGGGGGGGAAUGAAAAAGCAACCCGCCGCUUCCUAUGCAUUGUCUGUCGUCAUCACUGGCUUCACACCCUCCAGCGCCGGGGAGCUGGCAACUUUGAGCGAUUCCCAAGAUAACUGCCCAGAGUGUUUCACGAGAGGAGUCAGCCGCUUAGGACUAGUUACGGGACCCGAGCCCUCCUCCUUUCAGACCGUGGUAUGUGUGAUCCAUACUCCACCAUCGCGGUACCCUCCCCCUCCUUAA
rnacentral:lncRNA from 1 species